rnacentral:rRNA from 1 species
UAAUACGGAGGGUGCAAGCGUUAUCCGGAUUCACUGGGUUUAAAGGGUGCGUAGGCGGGCAGGUAAGUCAGUGGUGAAAUCCUGGAGCUUAACUCCAGAACUGCCAUUGAUACUAUCUGUCUUGAAUAUUGUGGAGGUAAGCGGAAUAUGUCAUGUAGCGGUGAAAUGCUUAGAUAUGACAUAGAACACCUAUUGCGAAGGCAGCUUACUACGCAUAUAUUGACGCUGAGGCACGAAAGCGUGGGGAUCAAACAGG